AACUGCCCAAUAUCUGUCCUCCGCUUGCUAAUCUUCUAAGCCCCGCACUCAGCCUAAUUAUUACAAACCUGGGCUUCGCCUUCAUCGUUUCUAAGAUCCGCCCUCAUUUCUGUUGCUUCUCUCCGGGGCUCCACCUCUCGUCAGCCCAGCCCCGCUCUCAGUCUAUUUCUCCACACCCGGGCUCUGCCUUCUGUGCCCCUAAGCUCCGCCUUCAGUCUAAUGACCUUACACUGAGGUCCUGCUUCCCAGGUACAGAGGCUGCUCUCCUGGCGCUCACCAGUCCUUCCCGCAGUCCGGCUGUUGCCUGCUAUCCGCUGUGUAUUUGCACAGGGUAGGGGUGGGGAGCCGGUGGCUCCGGGCAACGGUGAUAAACCCGGCACAGAAGCAGAGUCGCCUUUCGGACCGUCCACUUGUAAGGCGGCCCGUCAUACAUGUAGUCCAGUAGUCCAGAGGAGAGGAACCUAGGUCGGCCCUGGAGAAGUUUUAGGCUAAGGCAGACCAGUGACAGAGUGUCCCAUCAGCCUCAGGAAGGCACUCAGAGACACAAGGAGCAGAACCCCUUUCCCAGACGUUAGAGUCGCCCCUCCCCCUCCAGGGACCGUUACCUGUUGCCUCCUGAAGGAUCAAUCUGGGAUUUUUCUCUAAAGUGACCUGAGGCAUCAUUUGUCUAGGGCACGUUUUCUUGUGGCCUCAGAAGCAUGUCCGUGCACUUGCUGUAGACUCCACACCCUUCAGUAUGGCAACACAACUACUUAAUCCUUAGAGGAUGUGCAGCCAAUCAAGGUGACUAGAGGCCUGCCAGGAGAGUUUACUAAAAGAUUUCAUUUCUCGGGUAUUCAGAAACCCUUGGAACCUUGAAACCCUUGGAACAGGAGUUACAGACAUGAACUGCUGUGUGGGUGCCGGGAAAUGAACUCAGGUCUUCUGGAAGAACAGCCUGGCUUCCUGACUCAUCAGUCUAGCCCCUGGAUUAUUUUUCAAGACAUUUCUCAUAUGUGCCUUAAAGAAUACUAGAAUUGUAUCUUAUAAGUAUAUCUUAAAGGGCAUUGUCUCCUGGAAGAAAGGUUUAUUGCAUACAGAAAUCAAUAGUCUAAAAGUAAUUAAAAUGUUUUUAUGUAUGCAAAAGAGGCGAAUGUGUAUGAAAGUUUUCAUCUGCUUCGUCAUAGUAUUCAAGAAAUUCUGGAGAAUUUCAGAUUUUCAAGAUUGCAGGCAUGUUUGGUUUUCUAAUUUUUGUUUUCUUUCAGGUUUUUGACAGGUUUACUUUCUAUAACUGCCAGGUCAGGGAGGGGUGUCUCAAUAUAUUGCCUGUACCUGAACUCUAAGGCACAAGUAAUUCUUUUGCCUCAAGAAUCCCAAAUGAUGAAAUUACAGGAUUGUGAGUUCAUACCGUCUAUGUAUACUUUGAUAAGACUUUGGAUUUAGAGUUUGGCAGAGACAUGGGAUAAGAUAUUUCUAUGAACUUAGAAAUAUGGAGAGUGGUGGCUGGAGAGAUGGCUCAGCGGUUAAGAGCACUGACCGCUCUUCCAAAGGUCCUGAAUUCAAUUCCCAGCAACCAAAUGGUGGCUCACAAGAUUCUUUCAUGAGAUCUGAUGCCUCCUUCUGUGAGACAGUGACAGUGUACUCACUUAAAUAAAUCUUUAAAAAGAAAAAAAAAGAAAUCUGGAGAGCAUAGUGAUGUGGAUUGCAUUAUGUUCCAUUAAAACCUAUAUGCUAUGGUAUAGUGGCACAUAUUGUAAUCCCAGCACCUGGGAGGUAGAGUUAGGAAAAUUAUAAACUCAAGGCCAUUCUUGGUUAUAUAUAGUGAGUUUGAGGCCAAGCUGGGCUACAUAAAACCUUGUUUCAAGAAAAAGUAGAUAAGCAAAGAAUUUUUUAUAUUUCCCAGUGAGGCCAUAUAGUUGUUAUGGUUGCCCUGACAACAUAAUAUAGACAUUGUCAAGAAAGAAAAAUGGUACAAGUGCAGGGUGUCUGUCUGUCCUCUAAGAGCUCAGGAGGCCUGGGCAAGAGGCAGAAAGCUCUCAGGUUGGGAAAUGGCCUGGGUUACAAACUGGGACUAUGUGAGAAAGCAAGUGAGAAGACACUGCAGGGGGAGAGGGCUCCGUGGUUAAGAGCACUUGCUGUGCCGGGUAGCACAGACUUUAAUCCCAGGAUGCAGGACACAGAGUCACGCUGUGAGUUCAAGGCCAGUUCCUAGAGGGACUCUUAACCACCCCCAAACAACAACAACAACAGCAGCAGCAGCAACAACAACAGCAACCAUGACAACAACAAGAAGCAGCUCUUGUUGCUUUUGCCGAAGACCUAGGUUUGGUUCCCAGCACCAGCAUGGCAGUUUACAGCCAUCUGUAGCUACAGUUGACGGGGAUCUGAUCCCCCCUUCUGACCCCCAGGGGCACCAACCACCCCUGUAAAUUACACAUAGAUGCAUGUUGGCAAAACACUCACACACAUCAAAUCUUAAAAUGUUUUUUUUUUAAAAGACAAUACAGAUCGGGGAAAACAAUUUGCAAACUCUGUGUCUUACAGUCAGCCUUGAAUAUAUGAAUAAGUCUAAACUCAACAAAAAGACAACCCAAUGUAAAAAUGAGAGAUGAUGCCAGGCAAGUGGCUAAAGUCUGUAAUUCUAGCUAAUGGGCAGGUUGAAGCAGGAAGGUCACGAGUUCAAGGUCUACUUCAGCAACUCAAUGAGACGCUGCCUCAAAUUUUCAAACAGAAAAUGAGGACUGAGGGUCCAGCUCUAGUAGAACACUUGACUCAGAGAGACAGAGAGGAAGGGAUGAGGGGAAGGAGUUGAAGAGAUAUUUCUUUAAUGAUAUAUAAACAGCAGGAAGAACAUGGAAAGUUGACUGCAUAGUCAUUAAGAAAAUGCAAAUCACAAUUUUACUAAGAUAUCCAAUCAAACUUUUGAGGAUUUCUGAAAGAGAAAGUUUUAAGAAGGAGGGAUUGGUUCCCCUCAUAUACUGCUAUUGGAAAUGAAAAUGAUUUUACAAGCAAAGCAUCUUUGUAAAAAUAUGGAAUAAUUCUUUGAAAAUUCAGUUAAGAUGUGACACAGAAGUUCUACUCUUAGGUAUAUAUCAAGUAAUAAAAACGAAUGUCCACUCCAAAUUUGGUACAUGGGUUUUUUCUUAGACUGAGUCUUGGCUUUGGUGCCCCUGUUUCUCGUUCUUAAAGGUUAGUGGUAUUUUCAUGGGCUCUAAUCUGGGAGAUCAGACGAUAUCUUGUCCUGCCUUGGGAAGGUGGGGACAACAGAGAGGGAUUGCUAAGGCCAGGGAACUGUCUGUGCUCAUGUGGGAGGGGCUCAAAGGCAGAAAAAUGCAGUGGGGCACAUUUGGCAAUUGGGAG
ensembl:lncRNA